AUGCCAGAUGAUGAAUUUGGAUUAAAAUUUCUCACGACGGUCGUCUGAGGCACCUCAGGGUGUCAGAUUGAUUGAGAAAGCUCCAACAGUGCUGAUGGUU